GCGGGGAGGCCUGGACCAGUCUGUCUGGUCCACUAGACCACUGAUCUCCGGUGCCUUCUUGGAAAUGACCCGACACACCUGAAGCCUGCAGGUGCUGAGGCCACAUUCGAUCAGACCCAAGCUUUGGGAGACCCCUGGGGAAAUUUCCCACUUCCUGUCCUGAGACCAGGAACUCAGCAGAGAAACUUUGUGGUAA
rnacentral:lncRNA from 1 species